rnacentral:rRNA from 1 species
UACGGAGGGUGCGAGCGUUAAUCGGAAUUACUGGGCGUAAAGGGCGCGUAGGCGGCAUGCCAAGUUGACUGUGAAAGACCCGGGCUUAACCUGGGCAGGCCAGUCAAAACUAGCAAGCUAGAGUGUUGGAGAGGACAGUGGAAUUUCCGGUGUAGCGGUGAAAUGCGUAGAUAUCGGAAGGAACACCAGUGGCGAAGGCGACUGUCUGGCCAAACACUGACGCUGAGGCGCGAAAGCGUGGGUAGCAAACAGG